CAUGUGACUCACCAGCCCUGUGACCACCAGUCCCCCCUCUGCAAGCAGCGCCCAUGGGCGACGUGAGCCCUCUGUACUGACAGAGUGUGGUGGACACGGGGUCAGCAAGUGACAAGUCUAGCUGGUUCUGUUUUCUUAUCCUUCCAGCUGGGUGGACUUAUUCCAGCAAGAGCUAUGAUGGUCCCCUGGGAGGCGGGCGGGACUGCAAGUGGCACAACGCAAUAAUGAAGCAUUCCUGACUCAGUAGUAAUCACCAGGAUGUUGGCGACACAUGAAAGAGCUCUCUGCGAGGCCCAAGACCAGCUUUCUCAUCAACAGCUGAGGAGGCAGUGGCGGCGACGAAGGCAAUGAUGAAGCUGGCUUCUCGGGUUCAGCUGAGCUCUGGUUUUUCCGUCCCUCUCGGAGCCGCAAGAACACGGCGUGGUUGGGCAGCCAGCACCUGCCUUCCUGGUCAGCCUCUUCUCCCUUCCCACCAUCACUGCCCCCAUCUCAACAAGGCCAGUCCGACAAAUUCUGCUUUGGAAAAUCAAAAGGAAAGAAGACACUACACUGACUACAACAAUGGAAUAGAAAUUCCAGGAAGUAAAGAUGCAUUGAGAAGAGAGAAAGCUAUGUCCUGCAAACCAAUUCAAUGUCUGAGCGAUAAUAACGCCCUUCUCAAAUGACAUGUAAUGAAAACUAUAUGUAUAUUGUAUUUGUGUUUAUAUGUAAUAUAUGUACAUAUAUAAGUAUGUUCAUUCCCCAUCUGAUAACUAUUUCUGUCUUGCAGGUUGUUUAAUUUUUGUUUCUUAUAUUUCAAUCUAUCUAAACAUUUACAUGGUUGUAGCUUUAUAAUACACAGAUAUAUCUGGCAGUGUCUCAGGUCCCUCAGAAACUGAAUCUUUGGGCAGGCUGUUAGUUCCAGAGGUGCAGUGAGGGAGGCACUCAAUCAGUGUAGACCAGGGUUUUUCAACCUCGACACAAUCGCUAUUUUGUUAAUUUUCUUUUGUAGGAGUUUGUCCUGUUUGUCCGUAUCCCUGGCCUCUACCCGCCAGAUGUCAGUAGCUUCCCCAAGCUAAGAUGACCAAAAAUGGCCACCAGACAUCACAAAAUUGCCCCCAGUGAAAAGCUGGUUGUUUAAACGUGUUUCCUUAUUUCCUGCCCUCAAUGCUGUACAAAGCUGUGAUACUUGGUACCAUAGCAGGCAUCUUGCAGGCAUGAGGGAAUGAUAUUACAGAGGCACUGAGGCUAGUACAUGAGGUAGAAGGGGCCAUGGUUUUUGAUGACAUUGCCAAAGUACUACACCAACCCUAGCAUUACCUCCCUAUGGGAAAUCAAUAGCUGCCACCACUUAAGCCUCUUUGGCCCUGUGUUUUGUCAUUUACAGCCAAGACCAUCCUAGUGAAUCCAGUGAUCACCUUACUCCUCUGCUUAAAACCCUUUGCUAGUUCUCCAUUCAGGAUGAAUUCUAGACUCCUGAGCUUAGCACCCGAGGGCCUUUGUCUCUCCCUCCUGCUCAUCUCUC
rnacentral:lncRNA from 1 species